CAAGUAUCGUUUUCCCAAGAUACUCGAAUGGCUUUCUCGUUCAUGUGAAUUAAAAUAAUAAGACUUGAAAAUAAAAAUUAAUAAAUUGGAUUUGAGAACAAAAAUAUUAACAUGCAAAGUAAAGGUGAUUCAAUUGACAAAGGAAAACAAUGGAUGAAUGGAUGUUGUUGGGGGUUUACAAUUUCAUCUAAUUCGCUCUCUCUUACAUACUACCCUUGAAUAUUAGUUUGAUUAAUUCAAUUGUUAUGCAACUUUCUUAGCCUCCCCUUAACCCGAUCCCUCAGCGAAAAUGGCCUAAUAUU
rnacentral:lncRNA from 1 species